GCUGCUCGGAUAAUCACACACCUCUUCGUGGUGAGCAGCAGGCAACGAUCUGUGAUCGGCAGAGAUGUGAUG
rnacentral:ribozyme from 1 species